ACAAACAUAUCAUAUCACGGAUUGGACCUAACCCCAAAACAUCCCUUCCAGUCUCAGUAUGCCCGGCCCAGCCGGGUCUCACAACCUUCGUAUGCCUGGCUCGGCCAGGUCUUACAACAACUGUAUAUGUAUGCCUAGCCCGGCCAGGUCUCACAACAUCUCUAGGGCUAGUGGGGUCAUCCUUGGUCCAAUCUCCAUCAAUAGUAAAUAAUGCAAUGCUUCAUAUUCGUGUAACUAGUGCAAUCAACCUAUUACAUAUAAACAUGAUGCAUGAGCAUGCUUUAAGCAUUUGAUUUCAUAAA
rnacentral:lncRNA from 1 species